GGCAGCAUAUAAAAACAAAGUACACGUGCGAUCGCGCUGAAAAUGCCUCGCCCAUUAUUGUAGCCGAGCUAAGGAUAGUACACCGGGAAACAUCAGAUUUGCAUCUUUCUGCUUUUCAACAAUUGUGACUAUAUUAUGGAUAAGUAUCUGGUCAAGAAGGGCUCUUCAUCAGCAGGGUCAAAGGUCACCAAAGUUGAGGGCAAUGGUCAAGGGGCUGGAGAAUCUGAUGAGGUGGAGCAGGCUCAGAUGAGCAAGAGACGAAAAGCAGGAUCUUUUAUCUUGCAAGAGGUGAAAGGUGACCUUUUUGCUGCUCCUCAGACCGAGUGUUUGGCCCAUUGUAUUAGUGCAGAUGUGAGGAUGGGCAAGGGUAUAGCAACCAUCUUCAAGAAGAAGUUUGGAGGAGUUCAAGAUCUUCUUGCUCAAGGAGUAAAGCCUGGAGGAGUAGCAGUUCUGCAGAGAGAACAGAGGUUUAUUUAUUACAUGGUGACCAAAGAGAAGUUCUGGCACAAGCCCACUUACAAAUCCCUCCAAGACUCUCUCAGUUCUAUGGCUGGACACUGCAAGGAAAAUGGGAUUAAGGCUCUCUCUAUGCCUCGUAUUGGUUGUGGAUUAGAUGGAUUAAAAUGGGAUGAAGUCAAGAAGAAAAUCUCAGAGACCUUUCAAGAUAUGGACAUCAUGGUAACCAUUUACACACUCUGAUAUCAUGCAGUUCUCUCGGGAUCAUAGGUAGUGAAAGGCACAUACAAAGGUAAGAGAUAUAACUUAGACGGUUGACUACUCAAAUAUGUUAUUCCCCUUUACUUUGUGUGUAAGGACCAUCCAAUUCUAGUAGGCAAUGGGUUAACCUGUUGACUACUGAAUUCUGUGAUUCCCAUAGGCUGUGUACAGGAUCACCUGGCUCUAGUAGGCAAUGGGUUAACAUGUAAACUUUUCAAAUCCGUAAUUCCCAUAUGUUUUGUACAGGUACUAUUUGGUUCCAGUAGGCAAAAGGUUAAAACCUACAUACUACCCAAAUCAGAAUUUGUCUAGUAUGACCUUCGUUAACACAUUCCCAUGACUUAUAACUCACUGUAAGUAAGCUGAAUGAAAUGAGUUAUUAUUAGUUGUUAUAAGGGUUAGUUGAUUGAACAAGUUAGUAUGUUGUGGGAAUGAAUCAUGGAACAAAAAAAAAUCAUGUCACCUUUGGGACUUCUUAGAAUAAUAUGUAUUGAACAGUUGAUGCUCAUAUUAUGUGACCUAUAUAAUUAUUCAAGAAGCAACUAUUAUAUUUAUACAGAUUUCGUCACAGUUUGGGAAUAAUUAUACUGUGCUCAAUUUCAUACUAUUGGUUUCUUGAUAAAAUAAAUAUUAGUUCUCAAAGUUUCAUAUUCAAACACAAAGCUAUUUCAUAUUGUCCUUUACGAAUGUUUUAUUCCAGGUUCGGGUAUUAAGAGAGAAAGUAUGCUCUGAAGGAACACGAUGUCCAUUCAUCUGCUGAUCACUGGUAAUUAAAAGUAAACUCUCCUCAGGGAGUGGAGGGUGUGUAUUGUCUAUGGGCAAGCCUGACUGGAUCAAAUGACUUGAGUGAUCAUGUAUCUGUUGAAUGCAGUUAGUCACUUUAUUCAGGAUCAUGAUAGGAAAUUACUGACUCAUUCGAGCAGAAAUGGCCAGAGCUUCAUAAACCAAGCUAUUCAUCAAGAUGUCUGCGGUGAUAAAGAUCCUACCAUACUAUAAACAAUUCUCCAGGCAGGAAUUGGAUUGUGAGUCACUUUCCGGUGGCUAGUGAUCAUUGAUUAUUAAAACAUGUUCAAAUAUUAUUGAUUCUACAUGUUGAAGAGCUUUUCAAAAAUAUCAUUGAAAGUAUAGUUCAAAUGUUAGACCAAAUGGCUUGGAGAUGUCAUUACAUAACUGAUCAAAUAUUCAGUGAUACCCUUGAAUGAUUACUGAUAUGAUAAGAAAACAAAGAUUUCAUUUUAUAAGACUGCAUUUGUUUGAGACUAUCAAAGGGGCAAAGUUACACCGUUUCAAGUUAAGAUUUGAUAUUUGCAUAAAAAAUAUGCCAGAAAUUGCACCUUUGUAGUUUUCUGAAGAUUGUGCACCUUUAUUUCUUAAAAUGUGUAUCAGAUCAUUUAAUCAUUAGACUAAAUAACAAUGUAGUCCAAGUGGGCAUUUGACCAGUGACCCGUAACACAAAGGUUAGUUAUCAAUCGUACGCUUGAUUUUUACAAUUGAUUAGUUAAUGGAAUCAAUCAUAGAAAAAUGGUAUACGAUCAUUGCUAAGCUUUGUGUUACAGGCCCCAGGUGUUGUU